rnacentral:tRNA from 1 species
CAGUGGUCCAGUGGUAUAUGCCCUGGUUCAAAAUGCAGAAGGAGGUGGUUCAAUUCACGCU